GCCCGGAUGGCGGAAUCGGUAGACGCGGAGGCCUCAAAAGCCUUUGUCCGAGAGGGCAUGCGGGUUCGAGUCCCGCUCCGGGCACCA
rnacentral:tRNA from 1 species